rnacentral:tRNA from 1 species
CAGAGAGUAGUUUAAUAAAAUAUUAGUUUUGGGAAUUAAAGAUAAAAGUGUUAGCUUUUUUCUCUGA